rnacentral:rRNA from 1 species
AUUGAACGCUGGCGGCAGGCCUAACACAUGCAAGUCGAGCGGGUGAAGGGAGCUUGCUCCUGGAUUCAGCGGCGGACGGGUGAGUAAUGCCUAGGAAUCUGCCUGGUAGUGGGGGAUAACGUCCGGAAACGGGCGCUAAUACCGCAUACGUCCUGAGGGAGAAAGUGGGGGAUCUUCGGACCUCACGCUAUCAGAUGAGCCUAGGUCGGAUUAGCUAGUUGGUGGGGUAAAAGCCUACCAAGGCGACGAUCCGUAACUGGUCUGAGAGGAUGAUCAGUCACACUGGAACUGAGACACGGUCCAGACUCCUACGGGAGGCAGCAGUGGGGAAUAUUGGACAAUGGGCGAAAGCCUGAUCCAGCCAUGCCGCGUGUGUGAAGAAGGUCUUCGGAUUGUAAAGCACUUUAAGUUGGGAGGAAGGGCAGUAAGUUAAUACCUUGCUGUUUUGACGUUACCAACAGAAUAAGCACCGGCUAACUUCGUG